AGAGUUUGAUCCUGGCUCAGGACGAACGCUGGCGGCGUGGAUUAGGCAUGCAAGUCGAACGGUAUCAUCCUUUCGGGGGUGAGAGAGUGGCGAACUGGUGAGUAACACGUAGGUUAUCUACCCUCAAGACGGGGACAACCCAGGGAAACUUGGGCUAAUACCGGAUGUGAGCAACUUUUUAGUUGUUUGAAAGGUGGCGUAAGCUGUCGCUUGGGGAUGAGCCUGCGUCCUAUUAGUUAGUUGGUGAGGUAACGGCUCACCUAGGCAAUGAUAGGUAGGCGGCCUUAACGGGUGGUCGCCCACACUGGGAUUGAGAUACGGCCCAGACUCCUACGGGAGGCAGCAGUCGAGAAUAGUCUACAAUGGUCGGAAGACUGAUAGUGCGACGCCGCGUGAACGAUGAAUCCCUUCGGGGUGUAAAGUUCUUUUAUAUGUGAGCAGUGCUUCUUAUAUUAAGAGUAUGGGGAGAGAGAUAUUAGCAUAUGAAUAAGCAACGGCUAACUCCGUGCCAGCAGCCGCGGUAACACGGGGGUUGCGAGCGUUGUCCGGAAUUACUAGGCGUAAAGGGCAGGCAGGCGGAUCCAUAAGUUUAUCGUUUAAGGCGUCGGCUUAACCGGCGUAGGGCGGUAGAUACUGUGGAUCUGGGAAUGCGGUUGGGGAAGACAGAAUUCCUGGUGUAGCGGUGGAAUGCGCAGAGAUCAGGAGGAAUACCGAAAGCGAAGGCAGUCUUCCAAGCCCGUUAAUG
rnacentral:rRNA from 1 species